CAGGCCUCUUCUCUAGUUUUCCUUUCUUCUUCUGGAGCAGCCCUUUUCUCCUCUGGCCCGAUCCGGCCCAACCCACCUUGGCCUCCACCUGGCCCGUACCCCUUCGUGAGAGGAGCCUCUCCUGUUGUCGUCUUCUUCGUGCACGCGAGCAGCGUGGCCACCGUGGUCCUCCCUUUUCCUCACAACCACCGAGCCCUUUUCCCCUCCCUUUAAUCCCCAUCCGAUCCGGAGCAAACCCUAGCCCUCCUCUUCCUUCCUCUCACGGCCGCCACCUACCUCCCUCCAUCCUUUCUCUCUUCUCUUCUCUGUGAGAAAAACAAAACAUGAGAAACCCCACACUACACCUCCUCCCCGCCAUGGCGCCGCUGCUACGGGCUGCCCCUCGUCCAUCUACGACCACCGGCGGCUCCGCCUUGUUCUCCUCUUCCACCUCGUCAAAGGAAUCGAUCCGGGAGGCCUUCAAUCUUCGCCAAUUCGCCGUUUCUCACGAGCCGGACGUCGCCUUUCUUCUUCAAUUCCGGCCGCCCUCAUCCUCCUCCGACCAAACCGAGCCCGCCUUCAUCUUCCUGGUACCCGUCGCCGGCGGUACUCUGGCAGGCCCAGUGCCAAAACUGCUCGCUCCUGGUUCCCCAAGUUCAACCGCAGCUAGCGCACCCUCGCGCCCCGUCCAUCUCGUCCGUCCCCAUCGACUUUGUGCUCGGCAAGAUGUGCGUCCGCCAUGGCUACAGCGCUCAAGCCUCGUCCUCGCCUCUUCUUGCUUCAAGUUGUCGGGCAUCCUCAAGUUAACAUAAUCCGAUGCACUAGCCAGAUGAUCUUGGAUUCAGGGAUGAUUUAGUUCGUGCGUGAGCCCAUCUUGUCAAACUGCAGCCUGCAGCCUACUGAUCUUGAUGGGCCUCAGCCCACGCGCGGCGGGCAGCUUCUCGCCGCCCAAUCGCAUUUGCUUCUUCCCGGAUAGGAUGACGAAGUGGUGCAGUGAGAUACGACAAGUUCUUCGGAUGUCCCUCGGCAAUCUUAACAGGCAAGCAUUUCCCCUAUACUCCUGCCCCUGCAGAAGUCGCUCACCUAUUUUAUUUUGCCUUCUCCCUAAUGCUAUCCUUAAGUUGCGUUCUUGUCACGUGUCCCUUUCCACUUGUUACCUCAAGCAGACCAUAUUGCCACCACCACCUCCUACAGCUAUUGUUUGGUUAUCGAGCCUGCCCUUGCGAGUCGUAGUGCAUGCUAGUGCGGUCUUAUCUUGUUACCGUUAUUGUUAUCUUAUCGGGUUAUAUGUUGGGAAGAAUCAUGGUUACUUUAGUUGUUGAUAUUUGUUUAGCAGAGGCAUCGGUGGGUCAGCUGCUCGUUUUGUGACGACUUGGAGCUGUAUGACUUGACCAUACACAACUUACACCUGUUGUUUCAAUCAUAAUAACUUGUGUAGUAAGUUAGCACAACUUCAAUAAUAAAUGGUUAAAACUUGUCAACCGUGUGAGUGCCUUUGUAAGUACUUCCUUGCGAGGGGGGAACGCAUCGGCUGUGUUAUGUUUGCAGAGUAUAGAACUGUUAGUUAUGCGCUCUCUCAUCUUCUCUGAUUAGACGGAUGUUGUAGAGUGUCUCUAUAGGUUUUUAGUGCUUGCGCGCUGCCGCUUAACCCCACCAUAUUGCCUAUGACGUUCCUCUUGCGUCCUCUAAGUCCCCUGCGUGCCUCAAGUACAAAGGACGACUGGUUGACGAAUGCUUAUACGUCUUGAAGUCUUGUUAAGUACGAACCCGUACUUAUUGCUGCUUCUACGGGAUAUAACCGGGCAGGUAUGAAGAUAUGUUCGAUGAAGACGAUGUUAGCGAGGUUACCCUUCCGGCUUGGCCUGGGCAGGGUUAUGGACGCCGCUGGUUAUCUUCAGGACUCUUAGUCCAAUUUGUAUCUUGUCCGUACUCGGACGUAUUCGAUCUUCUGUAUGAUUUGGAUCUUUGUAUUGUAUAUUUGUAUCUUGACUCGUUGGAGUCGUUGUUGUAAUAUAUGUAUCUUGUGGGCUCUAUUGUA